rnacentral:tRNA from 1 species
AUAGCUCAGUGGCACAGCACCUGCCUGGCAAGCAUGAGGUCCUGAGUUCAAUUCCCAGU